rnacentral:tRNA from 1 species
GGGGUUGUGGCGCAGUGGUAGCGCGUUCGCUUCGCAUGCGAAAGGCCUAGGGUUCGAUCCCCUACUGCUCCA